CUGCUAUAACCAAAACAAAACAAAGUGUCGACUGCUAUUAUAGAAAAGUUUGCUGUUUUCAGUUGAAAGAGCUUCUGGGACUUGGCCGCUAGGUGGCACCGGUGAAACGACUUUCUUUCCUUUCAUCUCUAAGGGAAUUACAAAUAUAUAUCAAACUAUUAAUUACAAGUAUAGGAACAUUUAUUAAGUUAACUAAUAAUUUUUUGUGCUUUUUUUGCUGCUGAUGUAAAAAAAUUUACACAGCCGACAUAGGAAACCUCGGAGAUUCCCGUCCUCUACAUUAAGUAGCCCAUGCUCCUCCUUGGCGUCCUUGCUUAGCCGCUUCUCCUUGCAGGCUGCAGUGGCAGCAAUUUUUUUUGAAUUUUUUUUCCCUUAAAUGUACUCAUAGCCGUUCCUAUAUGAACGCUUUAUUUUGUGAAAUCGAGAGAGAUGUUUUAGCAAAGCUUAAAAAACUGAUUAUGUGAUGGACAGUGAAACCGUUCAAGAGAAUACUGGCCAUACCAGUUCAGUGAUACCUGAUGAUCAGAUGCCAUUCAUCCUGUGAGAGUUCUCUCAAACCAGGUUGAUAGCAAGGUUGAUAGUCAAAUAGUUGAAGAGAACGUGCCAGUUCAGUGAUCUCUGCUGCUGGUACUUAUUUGCUACUCUUUUCGAAUAUAUUGUGUCCUGUGUUUAUGGUUAAUCUUAACUUUUCUUAAAUUAGAUGCCAUAUGUCAUGUGACAGUUCUCUCGAACCAAGUUGAUAGUCAAAUAGAAGAAGAGAAUACUGGCCGUGCCAGUUCAGUGAUCUCUUGCUGCAGAUGCCAUUAGUCAUGUGACAAUUCUUUCAAACGUACCAAGUUGAUAGUCAAAUAGAAGAAGAGAAUACUGGCCGUGCCAGUUCAGUGAUCUCUUGCUGCAGCCAUCCAUCCUGUGACAGUUCUCUUAUACCGGGUUGCUAUUCAAAUAGAUGAAGAUAAUACUGGCCAUAUGAAGAUAAUACUGGCCAUACCAGUUUCAGUGAUAACUGAUGAUCAGAUAUGCCAUUCAUCCUGUGCCAGUUCUCUCAGGCCACGUUGAUAGUCAAAUAGUUAAUAGUUAAAGGGAACACUGGCCGUGCCAGUUCAGUGAUCUCUGCUGCUGAUGCCAUCCUUUUUAUGACAGUUCUCUCAAACCAUGUUGAUAGUCAAAAUAAAUGAAGAUAAUCUGUCAGCGGACACUUGGUUGUGUGGUUAGAGUACCCGCGCCGUGAUUCGUUGAGUCGCACGUUCAAGUCUCUUGCUGGAAGUUCAUUUUGAAUUUUCGCCUUUU